rnacentral:rRNA from 1 species
GACGAACGCUGGCGGCGUGCUUAACACAUGCAAGUCGAACGGAAAGGCCCUGCUUUUGUGGGGUGCUCGAGUGGCGAACGGGUGCGUAACACGUGAGUAACCUGCCCUUGACUUUGGGAUAACUUCAGGAAACUGGGGCUAAUACCGUAUAGGAGCUCCUGCUGCAUGGUGGGGGUUGGAAAGUUUCGGCGGUUGGGGAUGGACUCGCGGCUUAUCAGCUUGUUGGUGGGGUAGUGGCUUACCAAGGCUUUGACGGGUAGCCGGCCUGAGAGGGUGACCGGCCACAUUGGGACUGAGAUACGGCCCAGACUGCUACGGGAGGCAGCAGUGGGGAAUAUUGCACAGUGGGCGGAAGCCUGAUGCAGCAACGCCGCGUGCGGGAUGACGGCCUUCGGGUUGUAAACCGCUUUCGCCUGUGACGAAGCGUGAGUGACGGUAAUGGGUAAAGAAGCACCGGCUAACUACGUG